UACGGAGGGUGCAAGCGUUAAUCGGAAUUACUGGGCGUAAAGCGUGCGCAGGCGGUUUGUUAAGUCUGCUGUAAAAUCCCCGAGCUCAACUUGGGAAUUGCAGUGGAUACUGGCAAGCUGGAGUACGGUAGAGGAAGGUGGAAUUCCCGGUGUAGCAGUGAAAUGCGUAGAGAUCGGGAGGAACACCAGUGGCGAAGGCGGCCUUCUGGACCAGUACUGACGCUCAUGCACGAAAGCGUGGGGAGCAAACAGG
rnacentral:rRNA from 1 species